GCUCUGCGGCUCAUGGCCUUUGGGCAGAUCUAUAAGGUCUUAGAAAUGGACCCUCUCCCCUCAAGUAAACCUUCACAGAAAUUCCCCUGGUCAGAUAAAGAAGGUCUUGGGCUGAAGAGACCUUAUGAAGAUGGUCUGCUGGACGACAAAGACCUCAUCAAAAAGAUGAAGCGCAACCUGAGAAAAGCAGUUCUUGAC